GGGUUAGAGGGUUGGUAACAUGUAGUGGUUAGGAUACAGGGUUAGAGGGUUGGUAACAUGUAGUGGUUAGGUAACAGUAAGAUAGAGGGUUAGAGGGUUGGUACCAUGUAGUGGUUAGGUAACAGUAGGAUACAGGGUUAGAGGGUUGGUAACAUGUAGUGGUUAGGAUACAGGGUUAGAGGGUUGGUAACAUGUAGUGGUUAGGUAACAGUAAGAUAGAGGGUUAGAGGGUUGGUACCAUGUAGUGGUUAGGUAACAGUAGGAUACAGGGUUAGAGGGUUGGUAACAUGUAGUGGUUAGGAUAC